rnacentral:lncRNA from 1 species
CCAAAAACCCGAACUCCUUUCGCUUUACAUGUAAUGACUUUUAAGUGGGAAAUAUUUGAUUUGCUAAUACCAUCUUCAUAUUCUUGUACCUGAAAACAGCAAUUUGAUUUAACGGUUUAUUAAGGAAGAAUGUCGAGAGAGAAGUGCAAAUCAAUCUUUAUCAUCAAUCAAUCCUCAAAAAACUUAUGCUUACCACAAAUGAGUAAAGAUGAAAUGUGAUGCCAAGAACUCAUCUAUUGUCGUCGCCUGAGAUUUUUAGGAACUGCACCAUGUGAACAAUAGACACUUGGGUCUAAUCCACAAAUAAGACAACCAAGACUGCAAUUCCAUGUGAUACUUAAAGAUGUGAUUGUAACCUUUUGUUGACUUAGGAGACAUAUUUAAAUGCAGCACGUAGACUAGACACAAAACACAAUUGGUCCACCUCAUUUGCAUGUGCUUGUCUCAAGAAUAGAAAGAUACCUCAUUAGGCUUAGAUUUAACCGUUUAAUCAAAGUCCGUACGAGUUGCCUAAAAGAGCCUUUAAUGAGG